rnacentral:rRNA from 1 species
AUUGAACGCUGGCGGCAUGCCUUACACAUGCAAGUCGAACGGCAGCGCGGACUUCGGUCUGGCGGCGAGUGGCGAACGGGUGAGUAACAUAUCGGAACGUGCCCUGGAGUGGGGGAUAACUAGUCGAAAGACUAGCUAAUACCGCAUACGAUCUACGGAUGAAAGUGGGGGAUCGCAAGACCUCAUGCUCGUGGAGCGGCCGAUAUCUGAUUAGCUAGUUGGUGGGGUAAAGGCCUACCAAGGCACCGAUCAGUAGCUGGUCUGAGAGGACGACCGGCCACACUGGGACUGGGACAGGGCCCAGAUUCCUACGGGAGGCAGCAGUGGGGAAUUUUGGACAAUGGGGGCAACCCUGAUCCAGCAAUGCCGCGUGAGUGAAGAAGGCCUUCGGGUUGUAAAGCUCUUUUGUCAGGGAAGAAACGGUCCGGGCUAAUAUUCUGGGCUAAUGACGGUACCUGAAGAAUAAGCACCGGCUAACUACGUGCCAGCAGCCGCCGUAACAC